AUUGAACGCUGGCGGCAUGCCUUACACAUGCAAGUCGAACGGCAGCACGGGGGCAACCCUGGUGGCGAGUGGCGAACGGGUGAGUAAUGCAUCGGAACGUGCCCAGUAGUGGGGGAUAACCCGGCGAAAGCCGGGCUAAUACCGCAUACGACCUACGGGUGAAAGCGGGGGACCGUAAGGCCUCGCGCUAUUGGAGCGGCCGAUGUCUGAUUAGCUAGUUGGCGGGGUAAAGGCCCACCAAGGCGACGAUCAGUAGCUGGUCUGAGAGGACGAGCAGCAAAACUGGGACUGGGACACGGCCCAGACUCCUACGGGAGGCAGCAGUGGGGAAUUUUGGACAAUGGGCGCAAGCCUGAUCCAGCCAUGCCGCGUGCGGGAAGAAGGCCUUCGGGUUGUAAACCGCUUUUGGCAGGAACGAAACGGCGCAAGCUAAUACCUUGCGCUAAUGACGGUACCUGCAGAAUAAGCACCGGCUAACUACGUGCCAGCCGCCGCCGUAACAC
rnacentral:rRNA from 1 species